UACGUAGGGUGCGAGCGUUAAUCGGAAUUACUGGGCGUAAAGCGUGCGCAGGCGGUUUUGUAAGCCAGAUGUGAAAUCCCCGGGCUCAACCUGGGAAUGGCAUUUGGGACUGCAAGGCUGGAGUUUGGCAGAGGAGACUGGAAUUCCCGGUGUAGCAGUGAAAUGCGUAGAUAUCGGGAGGAAUACCGAUGGCGAAGGCAGGUCUCUGGGCUAUAACUGACGCUCAUGCACGAAAGCGUGAGGAGCAAACAGG
rnacentral:rRNA from 1 species